GUGCUCACUUCUGCAGCACUGUAUAUACUAACAACUGGAAUGAUGAUAGAGAAAAGAUCAACAUGACCCCUGCUCAAGGAUGACAUGCCAAUUUGUGAAGCACUCCAUAUUUUU
ensembl:snRNA U6 U6 spliceosomal RNA